rnacentral:rRNA from 1 species
AUGAAACGUCGCAAGUGGCCUGGUAAUGCUAAAUGUUCUUUUUGUGCUGCUCGGGAGACGGCACAACACCUCUUUUUCCUUUGCCCAGUUUCUAGGAUUAUCUGGCGAUCGGUGAGGGCAAUCCUGGGCACCGACCUAUGCCCCAACAACCUUUGGCAAUACUAUUCUUGGUGCUAUAUCUAUCUUCGUGAUGGUGCAAAGUUCUAUACUUUUGGACUAGCUGCCAUUUGUUGGGCUAUUUGGAACUGUCGCAACAGGGCCACCUUUGAGUUUAAACUGCCUAAAACCCCUUUUGAGAUUGUGUUCUCCGCUUGUGUCUUCAUUACCUACUGGGCAGGUCUCUUGAAGGGGGCGGACCGUGAGGCGAUGGAGCGGGGGUCGCAGAUGCUGAGGAACAACACAAGCAACAUGAUGAUGAUCUGCGCUACUGCGACGGAGGAUUCGGCGACGACUUGA